AGCUGCGGUAAUACGUAGGGUGCGAGCGUUGUCCGGAAUUACUGGGCGUAAAGAGCUCGUAGGCGGUUUGUCGCGUCGUCUGUGAAAUUCUGCAACUCAAUUGCAGGCGUGCAGGCGAUACGGGCAGACUUGAGUACUACAGGGGAGACUGGAAUUCCUGGUGUAGCGGUGAAAUGCGCAGAUAUCAGGAGGAACACCGGUGGCGAAGGCGGGUCUCUGGGUAGUAACUGACGCUGAGGAGCGAAAGCGUGGGUAGCGAACAGAAUUAGAUACCCUGGUAGUCCACGCCGUAAACGGUGGGUACUAGGUGUGGGUUCCAUUUCACGGGAUCCGUGCCGUAGCUAACGCAUUAAGUACCCCGCCUGGGGA
rnacentral:rRNA from 1 species